GCGGGUAUAGCUUAGUGGUAAAGCCCCAGCCUUCCAAGCUGGUUAUGCGGGUUCGAUUCCCGCUACCCGCUCCA
rnacentral:tRNA from 23 species